rnacentral:rRNA from 1 species
UACGUAGGGUGCAAGCGUUGUCCGGAAUUAUUGGGCGUAAAGAGCUCGUAGGCGGUUUGUCACGUCGGUUGUGAAAAUCCGAGGCUCAACCUCGGACCUGCAAUCGAUACGGGCAGGCUAGAGUUCGGUAGGGGAGACUGGAAUUCCUGGUGUAGCGGUGAAAUGCGCAGAUAUCAGGAGGAACACCGGUGGCGAAGGCGGGUCUCUGGGCCGAUACUGACGCUGAGGCACGAAAGCUAGGGUAGCGAACGGG